rnacentral:ncRNA from 1 species
GUCGGCGUCGUGACGGUGCAGCCGCAAUCGGUACCGGUGAUCACCGAGCUGCCGGGGCGCACCACCGCGUUCCUCGUUGCCCAGGUGCGCGCGCGCGUGGACGGCAUCGUGCUGCGCCGCGAGUUUACCGAGGGCUCGGACGUGAAGGCCGGCCAGCGCCUCUACAAGAUCGA